rnacentral:rRNA from 1 species
CCUACGGGAUGCCGCAGUGAGGAAUAUUGGUCAAUGGGCGGAAGCCUGAACCAGCCAAGUCGCGUGAGGGAAUAAGGCCCUACGGGUCGUAAACCUCUUUUGCCGGGGAGCAAGGGCGGGGACGUGUCCCGGCCCGGAGAGUACCCGGAGAAAAAGCAUCGGCUAACUCCGUGCCAGCAGCCGCGGUAAUACGGAGGCUGCGAGCGGUAUCCGGAAUUAUUGGGUUUAAAGGGUGCGCAGGCGGCGAGUUAAGUCAGCGGUAAAAUUUCGGGGCUCAACCCCGACGAGCCGUUGAAACUGGCUUGCUAGAGUGGGCGAGAAGUAUGCGGAAGGCGUGGUGUAGCGGUGAAAUGCAUAGAGAUCACGCAGAACCCCGAUUGCGAAGGCAGCAUACCGGCGCCCAACUGACGCUCAGGCACGAAAGCGUGGGUAUCGAACAGGAUUAGAUACCCUAGUAGUC